rnacentral:tRNA from 1 species
GGGGAUGUAGCUCAGUAGUAGAGCGCUUGCCUAGCUUGCAUAAGUCCCUGGGUUUAAUUCCCAGUAUUGCAA